UUUCCCUCUUACGUAUUGAAAGAGAACUUCAGCAGGUAAAACAUGAAUGGAUAUUAUGAAUUUUAAGUAAACCAUUCCUUUUUCGAUAGCAUAUAAAAUAAACUUAGGCAAAGCUCCACUUCUAUUGAUUCUAGUUGAUUUCACCGAGCAAUAUUUUAACUCAUUAGCGCUUGAUUGCCCCCAACAACUAACAUCGGACCAAGCAAUAGCCCCUAUAAUAGA
rnacentral:misc_RNA from 1 species